AACGCGAAGAACCUUACCAGGGUUUGACAUCCUGUGCUCACCGGAGAGAUCCGGUUUCCCCGCAAGGGGCGCAGAGACAGGUGCUGCAUGGCUGUCGUCAGCUCGUGUCGUGAGAUGUUGGGUUAAGUCCCGCAACGAGCGCAACCCUCGCCUUUAGUUGCCAUCAUUAAGUUGGGCACUCUAGAGGGACCGCCGGCGACAAGCCGGAGGAAGGUGGGGAUGACGUCAAGUCCUCAUGGCCCUUACACCCUGGGCUACACACGUGCUACAAUGGCGGUGACAGUGGGCAGCCAACUCGCGAGAGUGAGCUAAUCCCAAAAAACCGUCCCAGUUCAGAUUGCACUCUGCAACUCGGGUGCAUGAAGGUGGAAUCGCUAGUAAUCGCAGAACAGCAGGCUGCGGUGAAUACGUUCCCGGGCCUUGUACACACCGGCUAC
rnacentral:rRNA from 1 species